ACAGGUGGCGUAAACAUGCUGUUUUGUUUUUUUUCCUACCACAUGAUGACACUCUCGUCGAGAUCAGGAGAGCUAUAUAAUGAGUGCCAACAUACUGAGUAGUUCUGUUGAGCUCAGAACCUCGUUACUGUUGCGUCUAAAUUAGGGUAUUGUCUUGAUCUUGGAUGCUGAAAUCUUGUUUACGUAUAAAAAAAUACUUGGAAAGAUGAAUGAUAAUUGCGAAGAUGCGAUUUUCGGUAUAGUCAUUUUAGAAAUGAUAUUGUGCCAAAUAUACUAAUAAAUAAGGUUGAUGACUGUAAUGGAAUGGAAAAAAGAUGGUUCGUUAUCAGGAGUUAGCGAAGAAUGUAAGGUCCGUCAUUCAUGUACUAGUACAGAUUUUUAGGAAUGAAGUUACUGCAAAUAUCGCUAUUCACGAGGUCGCUUAUGAAACGAAAAAGGAGUUUCCUGUAGUGAUUGUUGGCAGUUGGAGAGGCGUUCGAAAUUUUCCUUUUACUUAAAUUUUCUUGUGUUUACAAUAGAAAAAAUAGUCCUUGUGAUGUGUUUUGUAGUCUUUGUUUUCUGAAGCCAUGUUUCCCCGUUACUUGUGAUAACUCCGUAGGCAGUUGUGAUGUUUUGUCAUUAACGUAUCUCAGAAUUAUCAAUAAAACAUUUUGAAUAAUA
rnacentral:lncRNA from 1 species